UGCUGUGGCUGUAGAGACCGAUGCUGGACAGACAUGUUUUGUGCAGCUGGGGCAGAUGGAGGCAUCCCGUUGUGCUGGACCAACACAACAAAUAUGGAUUUGAGGCACCAGGCCACGUUGGCCCAAGUCAUUUGCUGCUUUGAGGCAACAGACAAGAUUCCCACCCCACCUUACUUCAGACAGUGACUAUGGGACUCCAGUUCUGUUUUGUUAGUUUUUGGAACUGGGGCCAUGGUUAAGAGGGAUGGCUGGGAGGUGAAAUUCUUGGACCAGCACAAGACGAACCAGAGUGAAAGCAUUUGCCAAGAAUGUUUUCAUUAGUCAAGAACAAAAGUCGGAGGUUAGAAGACAAUCAGAUACCGCUGUAGUUUUGACCAUAAAUGGUGCUGACUAGUGGCAGUAUUCCA